CCUACGGGACGCAGCAGUGAGGAAUAUUGGUCAAUGGGCGGGAGCCUGAACCAGCCAAGCCGCGUGAGGGAAGAAGGUACAGCGUAUCGUAAACCUCUUUUGUCAGGGAACAAAGGCGGGGACUAGUCCCCGGAUGAGGGUACCUGAAGAAAAAGCAUCGGCUAACUCCGUGCCAGCAGCCGCGGUAAUACGGAGGAUGCGAGCGUUAUCCGGAUUUAUUGGGUUUAAAGGGUGCGCAGGCGGCCUGUUAAGUCAGCGGUAAAAGCCCGGGGCUCAACCCCGUCGAGCCGUUGAAACUGGCGGGG
rnacentral:rRNA from 1 species